rnacentral:rRNA from 1 species
AGUGAACGCUGGCGGUAGGCCUAACACAUGCAAGUCGAACGGCAGCACAGUAAGAGCUUGCUCUUACGGGUGGCGAGUGGCGGACGGGUGAGGAAUACAUCGGAAUCUACAUUUUCGUGGGGGAUAACGUAGGGAAGCUUACGCUAAUACCGCAUACGACCUACGGGUGAAAGCAGGGGAUCUUCGGACCUUGCGCGAUUGAAUGAGCCGAUGUCGGAUUAGCUAGUUGGCGGGGUAAAGGCCCACCAAGGCGACGAUCCGUAGCUGGUCUGAGAGGAUGAUCAGCCACACUGGAACUGAGACACGGUCCAGACUCCUACGGGAGGCAGCAGUGGGGAAUAUUGGACAAUGGGCGCAAGCCUGAUCCAGCCAUACCGCGUGGGUGAAGAAGGCCUUCGGGUUGUAAAGCCCUUUUGUUGGGAAAGAAAAGCAGCAGGUUAAUACCCCGCUGUUCUGACGGUACCCAAAGAAUAAGCACCGGCUAACUUCGUG